rnacentral:tRNA from 1 species
GGAGAGGUCGCAUAGUUGGCUUAGUGCAGCUUCCUGCUAAGAAGCUGACCUCGCAAGGGGUCCGUGGGUUCGAAUCCCACCCUCUCCG